AUGCUUCUGUUGUAUUCCCUGCAGGUCCUGUGUGGACUCCAGCUCGCUGUGUCCGACCCACACGACACAAUGAGUUGGCACCAGCAACGUCAGGAUCUGAUUCCUGCUUUCUGGCUAAAGUUGGAAGACAAAGAGCCAGUGCUGUUAUUUCACCCGCCAUUGGAGAACCAGGAAACAAAGCAACCUCAUCAAAAACUUCCCCAGGUGGAUCGGCCAUCAAUCACCUGGGGAGAUGUGAAGUCCUCGAUUGCUUCUGCACACCUACGCUUGGCUCAAGAUCGUGGUACAGAGACUCAUGAGACUUUGCUUACUGCCAUUUCUACUCAGCUUACCUGUAAUUCUACUUUGGUUUUGUUGCUCUUUAUGCUAUGUUUCUCUGUUCCCAUUGGCUUAGCUUGUUUAACUACGGUUACUCCGGAAGUUGAGAUACCCUUAGGGAGUCCUGUGUUACUUUCUUGUUUUUGGAAUUGCUCUCGUCCAUCCUCCUGGGGGUCCACUUGGUUGUUCAAUGGUAAAGGUUUGGGCCCUGAUUGGUUCAAGAUUCAGGAACAACCUAAAGUGGGAGAGAAGGAAAAACCAUUAGAUUUAUCCCGAGGAAAAAAAGAAACUGGACCAGAGGAUGCAGGACGUUAUUCCUGCCAUUUGAUUGACAAUUCUGAUGAUGUGCCCCAUUUUUAUGUAAUUAAUAUAACUGUGUCUUUUAGUGUUCAUUCUACCGGGUUGGGUCUUCAAGAUAACUUGUGGGUAUAUUUAGCUAGGUCUGUUCUUAAUCAUACCUCUUUUUGUGUGCGGGAAGGUAACUCUCCCACAAAUAUUUUGGCUAAUAAUUUGGUGGGGAUUGGAGUUACCGUUUCCAUGUUUGAAAAAGAAACUAAACAUAGCCUUUUUCAAUAUAUGAAUGCCACUCUUACACAUCCUAUACCUUUACUUCCUCUUUCCUUUAGCUUACAUAAAAAUGAUAGUUUUGUAAGAUUCAAUUCCUCUAUUAUUUUGCCUAUAGGGUGGGCUUUUUUAUGUUCUAAUUACUCUUAUCAGGCCCUACCCCCAUCCUAUUCUGGCCUUUGUUCCAUAGGAAGAGUUGUGCCUGCCUUACUUCCCCCUUUGCCCUCCUCUCAAAGACAAGUUCAUGGUCAACACUCCUUGCGCCCUGAUUGUGAUGCUAAUUUAGAUUUGCUUAGUAUUUCAUCUGUCGCUGCUGCAGCGGCCUAUGUUUAUCCCAUUCCUGCUUUAACCUUUGGCACAUAUGGUGCCCUGGGAGAGCUUGCCUGUAUUUUAGAGAAAACUGCCAACGCCACUGCUGCUGCUUUGUCGCAUGUUAAUAUAGAGCUAAACCAAGUGUGUGAGGGCAUGUUGCAAAACCGGGCAGCCAUCGACUAUUUAUUGUUGAAGCAUCACAUUGGGUGUCAACAAUUCCCUGGAUUAUGUUGCUUUAAUAUUACAGAUAAUUCUAAUUUGAUUCAAAAAGGAACUGGUAAGAUUAAACAAGAAGCUUUUAAUCUUCGUCUUGGUCCAAAGUGGUGGCAGCUGGGCUCGUGGUUAAAUUGGUUAUUGCCUUUUGCUGUUCCUGUGUUGAUUAUUUUGGUAUUGUGCCUUUUUUGGCCCUGUAUUAUUUCACGUAUUUCUGCACUGGUUUCCCGAAAUCUUAGAGCUUUACUAAAAACAAAGAAAGGGGGGAUGUAG
rnacentral:lncRNA from 1 species